rnacentral:lncRNA from 1 species
CUGCUUUAUUAAAGGAAAGCUUCAACUCUGUGAGUUGAACGCACACAUCACAAAGAAGUUUCUGAGAAUGCUUCUAUCUAGUGUUUAUUUGAAGAUAUUCCCGUUUCCAAUGAAGGCUUCAAAGCGUUCCAAAUAUCCACUUGCAGAUUCUGCAAAAAGAGUGCUUCAAAACUGCUCUAUGAAGAGGCCUCAAAGCUCGCCAUUUGUCCACUUGAAGAUUCUACAAAAAGAGGGCUUCAAACCUGCUCUAUGAAAAGAAAGGCUCAACUCUGUUAGUUGAAUGCACACAUCACAAAGAAGUUCCUGAGAAUGCUUCUGUCUAGUGUUUAUGUGAAGAUAAUCCCGUUGCCAAUGAAGGCCUCAAAGCAGUGCAAAUAUCCACUUGCAGAUUCUACAAAAAGAGUGUUUCAAAAGUACUCUAUGAUAAGGUAUGUCCAACCUUGUGAUUUGAAUGCACACAUCAUAAGAAGUUUCUGAGAAUGCCUCUGUCUAGUUUUUAAUGGGAAGAUAUUUCCUUUUCCACCAUAGGCCUCAAAGCGCUCCAAAUGUCCACUUGCAGAUUCUAGAAAAAGAGUGUUUCAAACCUGCUCUAUCAAAAGAAAAGUUCAAAUCUGUCAGUUGAAUGCACACAGUUCAAAAAAGUUUUUGAGAAAGCUUCUGUCUAGUGAUUAUGUGAAGAUAUUCCCGUUUCCAACAAAGGCCUCAAAGCGGUCCAAAUGUUCACUUGCAGAUUCUACAAAAAGAGUGUUUCAAAACUGCUCUAUCAAAAGAAAGGUACAACUCUGUGAGUAGAAUGCACACAUCACAAAGUAGUUUCUGAGAAUGCUUCUCUCUAGUUUAUAUGUGAGAUAUUUACUUUUCCACGAUAGGCCUCAAUGCUCUCCAAAUGUCCACUUGCAGAUUCUACAAAAAGAGUGUUUCAAACAUGCUCUAUGAAAAGAAAGUUUCAACUCUUGGGGUUGAAUGCACACAUCACAAAGAAGUUUCUGAGAAUGCUUCUGCCUGUUUUUGUGUGAACAUAUUCCCGUUUCCAACAAAGGCCUCAAAGCGUUUCAAAUAUCCACUUGCAUAUUCUACAAAAAGAGUGUUUCAAAACUGCUCUAUG